GCCUGCAGCUGUAUCACCCUGGGCUGUGAUCUUGUCAUCUCUCAUAAGCUAAACAGGGCUAAGCCUGGUCAGGGCUUGGAAGGGAGGCCUCUAGGGGAAGCCCAAAUGCUGCAGGAA
ensembl:rRNA 5S_rRNA 5S ribosomal RNA